GAUGAACGCUGGCGGCGUGCCUAAUACAUGCCAGUCGAGCGAACGGACGAGAAGCUUGCUUCUCUGAUGUUAGCGGCGGACGGGUGAGUAACACGUGGAUAACCUACCUAUAAGACUGGGAUAACUUCGGGAAACCGGAGCUAAUACCGGAUGAUAUUUUGAACCGCAUGGUUCAAAAGUGAAAGACGGUCUUGCUGUCACUUAUAGAUGGAUCCGCGCUGCAUUAGCUAGUUGGUAAGGUAACGGCUUACCAAGGCAACGAUGCAUAGCCGGCCUGAGAGGGUGAUCGGCCACACUGGAACUGAAACACGGUCCAGACUCCUACGGGAGGCAGCAGUAGGGAAUCUUCCGCAAUGGGCGAAAGCCUGACGGAGCAACGCCGCGUGAGUGAUGAAGGUCUUCGGAUCGUAAAACUCUGUUAUUAGGGAAGAACAUAUGUGUAAGUAACUGUGCACAUCUUGACGGUACCUAAUCAGAAAGCCACGGCUAACUACGUG
rnacentral:rRNA from 1 species